CGCCCCCUCGCCCAGAGCAUGCGCCGCCGCGGCCGAGGCCCUGGAGGGGGCGCGUUUCCGGGUUUCAGAAGUGGUGGGAGUUUUCGGCGGUGGCGAGGUCACGCACCAGAAUGAGAGACGUGGCGUCAGAGGUCCCCAGGGAGUAAAUCUGAAAGCCGGCGCCUCCUGAACGCAGACUACCAGGGGUUCACUGAUCUCCAGAUGAAGAGGAGCAGCAUCUGAAAUGCUCCAUUCACAUCCGGGCCUAGUAUAUAUUACUAGAUCAUAGACCUUAGAGCCAAUGCUAUACAGAAUGAUAAUUUUGGGGGAGGAAGUAAGUAUCUUUUGCAUGUCGUGUGUGGGGGUGUGUGUGUGUGAACUGUUGUGGUCAGAGGGUGGAUUGUGGUAGAGCGUUUCCAAA